rnacentral:rRNA from 1 species
GAACGCUGGCGGCGUGCUUAACACAUGCAAGUCGAACGCGAAAGGGGCUUCGGCUCCGAGUAGAGUGGCGCACGGGUGAGUAACGCGUGGAUGAUCUGCCCUGAUGUUGGGAAUAACAGUUGGAAACGGCUGCUAAUACCGAAUACGCUCCCCUUUCACCAUGGGAGGAAAGACGGCCUCUGCUUGCAAGCUGUCGCAUGAGGAUGAGUCCGCGUCCCAUUAGCUAGUUGGUGAGGUAACGGCCCACCAAGGCGACGAUGGGUAGCCGAUUUGAGAGGAUGAUCGGCCACACUGGAACUGAAACACGGUCCAGACUCCUACGGGAGGCAGCAGUGGGGAAUAUUGCGCAAUGGGCGAAAGCCUGACGCAGCGACGCCGCGUGAGGGAUGAAGGUUCCUUCGGAUCGUAAACCUCUGUCAGAAGGGAAGAAAGCAGCGGGUGCCAAUCAGCCUGCUGUUGACGGUACCUUCAAAGGAAGCACCGGCUAACUCCGUGCCAGCCGCAGC